GUACCUUUUGGUUCGGAACAACUGAGGGAAACUUCAGCUAAUACCGGAUAAGCCCUUACGGGGAAAGAUUUAUCGCCGAAAGAUCGGCCCGCGUCUGAUUAGCUAGUUGGUAGGGUAAUGGCCUACCAAGGCGACGAUCAGUAGCUGGUCUGAGAGGAUGAUCAGCCACAUUGGGACUGAGACACGGCCCAAACUCCUACGGGAGGCAGCAGUGGGGAAUAUUGGACAAUGGGGGCAACCCUGAUCCAGCCAUGCCGCGUGAGUGAUGAAGGCCCUAGGGUUGUAAAGCUCUUUUGUGCGGGAAGAUAAUGACGGUACCGCAAGAAUAAGCCCCGGCUAACUUCGUGCCAGCAGCCGCGGUAAUACGAAGGGGGCUAGCGUUGCUCGGAAUCACUGGGCGUAAAGGGUGCGUAGGCGGGUCUUUAAGUCAGGGGUGAAAUCCUGGAGCUCAACUCCAGAACUGCCUUUGAUACUGAGGAUCUUGAGUUCGGGAGAGGUGAGUGGAACUGCGAGUGUAGAGGUGAAAU
rnacentral:rRNA from 1 species